rnacentral:rRNA from 1 species
UACGGGGGGGGCAAGCGUUGUUCGGAAUUACUGGGCGUAAAGGGCUCGUAGGCGGCCAACUAAGUCGGAUGUGAAAUCCCCAGGCUUAACCUGGGAACUGCAUCCGAUACUGGAUGGCUUGAAUUCGGGAGAGGGAUGCAGAAUUCCAGGUGUAGCGGUGAAAAUGCGUAGAUAUCUGGAGGAAUACCGGUGGCGAAGGCGGCAUCCUGGACCGACAUUGACGCUGAGGAGCGAAAGCUAGGGGAGCAAACGGGG